CGUCCUAUAACAUUUUGUGUAAACGAGAGAAGGCCUGAUCAGUGGAAGCAUUUGAAAGCAGCUUCGACUAUUUCUUCUUCUGGGCAACAAGAAAAAUAUGAAAACGACGAUUAUUGUGUUGGCCGUCAUCGGGCUUGCUUUAUUCCAUUCAUGUCCAUGUAUUCCAAAUAAAGUACAUGGGGAUGAAAUGUACAAGAAAAUUCAUGGACAAGAGAUGCGCAAACUCACCAAUAUUGAUGGAAGGGCUGCCCAAGCUGGUGAAGACAUACAUCAUGUUUGUCCACUUGGGAGCUACCCUUGUCGAGCCAUGAUCCAGAGUUCUCAGGGAAGCACACAAGGUUUUGGUGGACACUGAAAGUGUACCAACAUAGAGAAUGUGAAAUAUAGUGUUUGUGUAAGAUUGUGUAUUUUAUCAAGGGCGGCCUGCUCUGCGAAUGUACUGUAUCCUUCUACUAUCUGUUUCUGGUUUUGUUGCUUCAUGUAGCAUCAAGUCUAUGUUUUGUACUGGAGACUAACUUUAAGAAAUGAGAGUCAUAAACCUUUUAGUAUGAA